UACGUAUGGAGCAAGCGUUAUCCGGAUUUACUGGGCGUAAAGGGAGCGUAGGCGGCCUGCCAAGUCUGAUGUGAAAUACCGGGGCUCAACCCCGGGGCUGCAUUGGAAACUGGCAGGCUGGAGUACAGUAGAGGUGGGCGGAAUUCGUGGUGUAGCGGUGAAAUGCUUAGAUAUCACGAAGAACUCCGAUUGCGAAGGCAGCUCACUGGACUGCAACUGACACUGAGGCUCGAAAGUGUGGGUAUCAAACAGG
rnacentral:rRNA from 1 species